rnacentral:rRNA from 1 species
GAAAUAAACCUGAUGGGUUGUUGCUGGUUCUCUAUGGGGACAUGUGCACGCCCGUCAUCUUUAUAUCUCCACCUGUGCACACUUUGUAGACCUGGGUAGCUUUCUGAAUGCCUUUUGGUGUUCAGGUUUGAGGACUGACUAUCCUUGUCUCUCCUUACAAUUUCCAGGUCUAUGUUUUCUUCAUAUACCCCAAUGUAUGUUAUAGAAUGUAAUUAAUGGGCCUUUGUGCCUAUAAACCUAUACAACUUUCAGCAACGGAUCUCUUGGCUCUCGCAUCGAUGAAGAACGCAGCGAAAUGCGAUAAGUAAUGUGAAUUGCAGAAUUCAGUGAAUCAUCGAAUCUUUGAACGCACCUUGCGCUCCUUGGUAUUCCGAGGAGCAUGCCUGUUUGAGUGUCAUUAAUAUAUCAACCUCUUUAGCUUUUGCUAAUUGAGUGUUGGAUGUGGGGGAAUUUUGCUGGUCUCUUUUUAAACGAGGUCAGCUCCCCUAAAAUGCAUUAGCGGAACAUUUGUUGACCGUUCAUUGGUGUGAUAACUAUCUACGCUAUUGACGUGAGGCAGUUCAGCUUCUAACAGUCCAUUGACUUGGACAAUUUUCAUUAAUGUGACCUCAAAUCAGGUAGGACUACCCGCUGAACUUAAGCAUAUCAAUAAGCGGAGGAAAAGAAACUAACAAGGAUUCCCCUAGUAACUGCGAGUGAAGCGGGAAAAGCUCAAAUUUAAAAUCUGUCAGUCUUUGGCUGAUCGAGUUGUAAUCUAGAGAAGUGUUAUCCGCGCUGGACCGUGUACAAGUCUCCUGGAAUGGAGCGUCAUAGAGGGUGAGAAUCCCGUCUUUGACACGGACUGCCAGGGCUUUGUGAUGCGCUCUCAAAGAGUCGAGUUGUUUGGGAAUGCAGCUCAAAAUGGGUGGUAAAUUCCAUCUAAAGCUAAAUAUUGGCGAGAGACCGAUAGCGAACAAGUACCGUGAGGGAAAGAUGAAAAGAACUUUGGAAAGAGAGUUAAACAGUACGUGAAAUUGCUGAAAGGGAAACGCUUGAAGUCAGUCGCGUUGUCCAGGAAUCAACCUUGCUUUUGCUUGGUGUACUUUCUGGUUGACGGGUCAGCAUCAAUUUUGAUCAUUGGAAAAAGAUUAGGGGAAUGUGGCAUCUUUGGAUGUGUUAUAGCCCUUGGUUGCAUACAAUGGUUGGGAUUGAGGAACUCAGCACGCCGCAAGGCCGGGUUUUAACCACGUACGUGCUUAGGAUGCUGGCAUAAUGGCUUUAAUCGACCCGUCUUGAAA